rnacentral:rRNA from 1 species
GGAGAGGGAGCCUGAGAAAUGGCUACCACUUCUAAGGAGGGCAGCAGGCGCGUAAAUUACCCAAUCCUAAUACGGGGAGGUAGUGACAAUAAAUAACAAUGCUGGUCCAAAAGGAUUAGUAAUUGGAAUGAGAACAAUUUAAACCCCUUAUCGAGUAACCAUCAGAGGGCAAGUCUGGUGCCAGCAGCCGCGGUAAUUCCAGCUCUGAUAGCGUAUAUUAAAGUUGUUGCAGUUAAAAAGCUCGUAGUUGGAAAUGAGAAGACAAUGAAAGGGUCGAUCCUCACGGAUUUUGUACUCUUUUUAUUACUUCUUUCCUACUGGUUACUCGACUCUGUCCUUUACUGGAUGGAGUAGUAUCGUAAGAUAUCAUAUGAUGAUUGAUUGCUUUUGAAUGUAUUUAUUGGGUAAAACUGAUAGAGAAACUCAAGAGAUCACAGUUAGUUGUUAUAUGGGGUUCCAGUUCAUUUACUUUGAGUAAAUUAGAGUGUUCAAAGCAGCCUCUUGGGGUAUUGAAUAGAUUAGCAUGGGAUAAUAGAAUAGGACUUUUGUUUAUUUUCUAAUUGGUUAUUAAAUGAGAGUAAUGAUUAAUAGGGAUAGUUGGGGGCACUUGUAUUCAAUAGUCAGAGGUGAAAUUCUAGGAUUUAUUGAAGACAAACUUCAGCGAAAGCAUUUGCCAAGGAUGUUUUCAUUAAUCAAGAACGAAAGUUAGGGGAUCGAAGACGAUUAGACACCGUCGUAGUCUUAACUAUAAACUAUGCCGACCAGGGAUAUGAGAGGAUUUAUUAACAAACAUGUAACAAUGUUUGUUCUCUUGUGCACCUUGUGAGAAAUCAUAAGUGUUUGGGUUCUGGGGGGAGUAUGGUCGCAAGGCUGAAACUUAAAGGAAUUGACGGAGGGCACCACCAGGAGUGGAGCCUGCGGCUUAAUUUGACCCAACACGGGAAAACUUACCAGGUCCAGACAUUAGAAGGAUUGACAGGUUGAUAGCCCUUUCUUGAUUUGAUGAAUGGUGGUGCAUGGCCGUUCUUAGUUGGUGGAGUGAUUUGUCUGGUUAAUUCCGAUAACGAACGAGACCUCUGCUAAAAAAUAGGGGAUACUAAUCUUCUGGUUAGUAUUCAAUUCCCUUCUUUUUGGGACUUUUGGUUUUUAAUCCAAAGGAAGUUAGAGGCAAUAACAGGUCUGUGAUGCCCUUAGAUGUUCUGGGCCGCACGCGCGCUACACUGAUAAGUUCAAAGAGUAUCUUCUAUUAGAAUCCUUCUCUGAAAAGAGUGGGUAAUCUUUUAAAACUUAUCGUGAUGGGGAUAGAUGAUUGCAAUUAUUCAUCUUGAACGAGGAAUUCCUAGUAAGCGUAAGUCAUCAGCUUACGUUGAUUACGUCCCUGCCCCUUGUACACACCGCCCGUCGCUGCUACCGAUUGGAUGAUCCGGUGAAAUCUUUGGAUUACUAUGAAAUACUUUGGGUUAAACCAGAGUUUUGUGGUGAAAAGUUGAUUAAACCUUAUCAUCUAGAGGAAGCAAAAGUCGUAACAAGGUU